GGCACCAUGGCUUAGCUGGCUUAAGCACUUGCCUUCUAAAUAGGAGAGCCUGGGUUCAAUUCCCAGUGGUGCCU